rnacentral:rRNA from 1 species
UACAGAGGUCCCAAGCGUUGUUCGGAUUCACUGGGCGUAAAGGGUGCGUAGGCGGUCGGGUAAGUCUGACGUGAAAUCUCCGGGCCUAACCCGGAAACUGCGUCGGAUACUAUCCGACUAGAGGAUUGGAAGGGAGACUGGAAUACUUGGUGUAGCAGUGAAAUGCGUAGAUAUCAAGUGGAACACCAGUGGCGAAGGCGAGUCUCUGGACAAUUCCUGACGCUGAGGCACGAAAGCCAGGGGAGCAAACGGG